rnacentral:lncRNA from 1 species
CAAAAAUAAAUCAAAUGAAAAGAAAUCAUCCAAUAAAUAAAUCGUCAACAAAUGAUGAAUCCUGCUCCAACUCUGUAGAUAUAUAUUCUCUUUGUGUCUUCUAUCAAGUUCUUGAAUGUGAGAAUAGCAAAUGUCAUGGUUGUCCUUUUCUUGAUGCUUUCAAUGAGCAUUUAUAGAUCAGAGUGUCAGAUACUGAAGAAAUGAAGUGAAAAUCGAUUUUCAGGCCAGAAAUCCGUCAAAACGCGGUCAAAUCCAACAAACACAUGGCCCAUACAUGUGGUUGAGCGUCUCGGCCACAUAGGAUUUUUCAGCUUAAUUAUUUGUGCAGUGAUUUUGUUUCAGCCUGUUCUCCCUCGUCUUAAAUUUGAUUUUCGGUCCGUUUGCGCCCAUGAAAUCUUAUUGAGAUGAACUCCAACUUCCAUUUAAAUCAUUUUUCCAAGUAAAGCUUCAAUAAUAUUCCUGAAAAUUCACUCAAACAACAAAAAAGUAACAAGUUCUUGUCAAUAAACCAAUAUACAUUCAAAUUAACCAUCAACACAUAAAAUUCUCAUGACUAGACAUCAAAUAUGACAUACCAAAAAACAAAAUACAUCUUUAUCAUAUCACAUCCACCUUUUAACAGGAUGACGACGAUGAUCCAAUUCUAAUAACUUUCUUUCAUUCAUUAAAAACUAUCAAAGAAAAGUGAAAUACGAAUUGGAACACUAUGAUGGAAUGGAAUGAGUGGAAAACGGAACGCAGGUAGGAAUGGUAUAAAAAUAGAGAUGGAAUGAUAAUCUUAAUCAAUUCCUAUACUUGGUGUGCACAAAGAACACUAAAUAAAAUCAUUAUUCAUUUAUAUAAAAUUACUAUUUUAUAUCAUUCACCUCUCUCUCAAAACAAAUUUAGAGAGACAAAGUAUGGACAGAAGAAAUUUUUAGAGAAAAAAUUUUAGAAAAUAAAAAUAAUAAAGAGAGAGAGAAAAAAAUUUUGGAGGUAGAAAAUUCUUGAAAAAGAAAAAUUUGCAGAGAUAAAUUUUGUUCAUUUCAAAGUUUAAGGUUUGUUUCUCUAAAAUUUUCUGUUUCUAAAAUUCACCGUCUAAAUUUUUUCUUUUUUAAAUUUUCUUUCUAUAAAUUAUGUGUCAAUAAUUUUAUCAACCUAAAGUAUCCCUAUGGAUAAAUUUUCACCCUCUAAAAAUAUCACUUUCAAAAAUUUACGCACAGUUUAAAAUUUCAUUUUUAAAUUUUCUCUUUCAAAGUAGUUUCUGUCUUAAAAAGUUUAGAGACCCAAAAAAAUUUUCUCUCUAAAUUUUUCUUUCUCUAUAAUUUUCUUUCCUAAUAAUUUUCUUCUUCUAAACUUUACUCUCUUUAAAAAUUUAUCCCUCUAAAUUUACACUUCUAGAUUUCAUCUCUAUAAAUUUUCUCUCACUAGAAAUUAAAUGUCUACUUCUUUACUAUUUUUUUUCUUUAAAAACAUUUCUUUUACUAGUACUUUUUCUCUCAAUAUAUAAUUUUCUCUUUUUAAAAUUUCCUCACUCUAAUUAUAUAUAUAAUUAUUUAAUUAAAUAAUUAUAUAUAGAUGAAUAAUUAGAUCAAAUAAUAAAAUACAUGAGAUCCAGUGUCCCACAAUCUUAUGUGUACCACUGUGUCUCAUUCUUAUAUUUAUUAUUUUAAAAAUAUUUUUUAUAAAAAUAAAAUUUAUUAUAAUACUAUGAAUUAUAUUUAAUUUUUAUUUCAAAAAAUUAAAAUUUUUAAAAAUAUAUACCAUGACGUAGAAUUUAUCAACCUAUUAUUAACUAAUAAAAGUGAAAUUAAAUGAUAAAAAAAUUAUAUACCCUAGAUUGAUGGAAUAAACCCUAAUUAAUAAUCACAAAAUUAAACUAAAGCAUACAAAAUUGAAAUUGAAUAAAAAAAAUUUAAGAAAUUGAACAAAUUUGAAAGUGGGACACAAAGUGGGACAUAAAGUAUGGUACACUGAAUCUCAUUCCGUACACUUGCGGUGUGAAAUAAAUUAGCAAACAUGAUCUUUUGUCCCAAAUCUUAUGUCCCAUCAUUUGUGUCUCACUAUUGAUUUUAUUAUUUUGAUAAUAUUUAUUAUAUGAUGAGGACUGUAAUACCCAUCAGCGUUGUGCUUAGCAAUCUAAGCCUAUUUUACCUUAUUAUUAUUAUUAUAUAAACUAACCAGCGCAGGUUUGCCUAAAAAGACUUGCUAAUAAAUGAAUAUGAAGAGUCAAUCAGCCUUGACCAAAGUGCAGAGAUGCUGCCUUGCUAAAGUACAACACCACCUGCGCAGCACCGCAGCGCAGCAGAACAGCAGCACAGCAGCGCAGCCCAACAGCACAGCCAGAGCGCAGAGCUGGUCUUACUAGAGCCGGAGUUACCCGCUUCACCAACGAAGGACAGCGUAAAUGGGUCAAAUCAAGAUCAUUAAAGGGUAUAAAUCCAACUAUUAGAGUUCAUGGGCCUAAGGCCUUUAGGGUUCAUUCUCACAACUAUAAAUAGGAGGUUUAGCAUUAGCAUAAAGGGGGGAAUCAACUCAUUCGAGCAACACACUUGUAAAAUGUAAACUUUCUUGAGCUAUAGUGAAAACCGACGAAGAACCUCCCGUGGAUGUAGGUCUUUGAUGGCCGAACCACGUAAAUCCGUGUGCCGUUUAUCGCUUUCUAGUUUCUAGUUUAGGUGUUGGUGAUUCUGUGCCUCACCAUUAUAAAAUAAAAAAUUAUAAUCUAGUAAUGAUCUUAAUUAACAUUAUUUAUUAAAAACUAAUUUUUUAAAAAUUUAUAUAUCCUAAUUUUGGAAUAAUCAACACAAAUAAUCAUUUUUUAAACUUAAACCUGCAAAUUAAAUAUAAAAAUAUUAUAAACCCUAACUUGAAUUAGUGAACCCUAGUUAAUGAUUGUGAAAUUAAAAUAAAUUACAAUAUAUUGAAAUUGAGCAAAAAUAAUUAAUAAUUAAUUGUGGGACACAUAGUGAAACAUCAAAUUGAACUAGGAGUUUUCCCUCGCCUUAUUUAAAUGGUGAAAAUACGAACUUGAGAUCCUCUAUCCCAUUUUUGGUGUCCCACAUUCAAUAUUUUUUAUAUAAUUUUUAUUUUUUUUUUAAUUUUAAUUUUUAUAUUUUGAGUAUAUGUAAUUUAUAAGUUAAUUAACUAGGAUCCACUUAUUUAAUUAGGGUUUAUAAUUUUUUUUAUAUUUAUUUUUAAUAUUUAAAAUUAAUAAUUCAUUAUUAGCUUCAUCCCACAAAUGAGUACCCAUAUUUUAUUUUUGGUGCGUAUUAUAAAUGUACUUAUUUUUCUUUUUGAUGAGUAUACUACACACAACUCACUCAUAACAAAAGCAAGACUCUUAUGUUGCUCAUAAACACUCAAUCAAUUUUUCUUAAAAUUCGUGUCAUUUUCAUAUAUGUACUCAUUUUGGGAUUGAUGGAGUAUAAUUUUUUUAAUUUUAUUUUUUUGUGAUAAAUAUUAAUUAUGAUUCAUUAUAUUAAUAAUAUUUUUUAUUUUCAUAAUUAAAUAAAAUUAAUGAUAUGAAACCAUGCGACACCCUAAAACUGCAAAAGAUAGGAUUUGAUCAAAAAAUGACGUGGCUGCACUACAUCAAGUGAUCAACCUUGAAGAUAAGUAAUUUUGUCGUAAUCAAAGUGUCAUUUUCUAUGAAAAAACAAUAGCCUUAAGAAGCAAAAGCUCGAUUGAACUAGUAUGUCACUAAGCUGCUUUGUUUCUUGGACAUGAUGUUGUGAUGUAAGCAAUGACCAAAGCAAAUCGGAUAAAUUGAGGUCGAGUUCAUUUCUUACGGGUCAACAUUUUAGACUUUACUGUGCGUAGCAGUCGAGAUUCACAUAUUCUGAUUAUGAUGGUUGUCACAUGGAUUAUUGAAAACAGAAAUGGAAAUCUUAUUGAAAACAAAAAUGGAAGCCUUGUUCCUGGUGAUGAAUGAUGAUGGAAUUUAUUUUCCAAAAUCGGAAUUAACUAAGACUAUAUUUUGGGAUUGUGGUGGAUUUAUCAUAUAAAUGUUCCUUUACAACCGUUGGGGUUUGUUACUUGUUUUGGAUCAAUUUUGUUGUGCUUAGCUUAUGUUUGGAUCCAAAGCAAUCUACAUGAGAAUUAGAGAAACCGAAAAAACAGCAUAUGUCUGCACAAGAUAAAUGAAAUAAGGAAGAAAAUGACAGGUUGAUGUAUAAAAUUGUAUAGUAAUUUUACAAAAUUAAUAAAAUUACCUCUGCAGACCAAAUUAAGAACAGGAAUGAGAAGUCUAUUGAACAUGUUU